GACGAACCGUGCGACCGUUGUUCGGAAUCACUGGGCUUAAAGGGCGCGUAGGCGGGCAAGCAAGUCCGGGGUGAAAUCUUUCGGCUCAACCGGAAAAGUGCCUUGGAUACUGCUUGUCUCGAGGGAGGUAGGGGUUGCUGGAACUUCCGGUGGAGCGGUGAAAUGCGUUGAUAUCGGAAGGAACGCCGGUGGCGAAAGCGAGCAACUGGAUCUCUUCUGACGCUGAGGCGCGAAAGCUAGGGGAGCAAACGGG
rnacentral:rRNA from 1 species